CCAAAGCAGAGAAAAACAUCUUUCAAGAGCUACAAAAGAUGAUUAAAUUACCAGGAAAUCUAAAAAGCACUUGGAUCCAGAGAAUCCUGAAGAAGGGCAAGGCAUUGAACUUCAUGGUCAUAAUUCAAGCAAUAUUGGAGCUCAAGGACACAAAACAUUCCCCUCAAAAUAUGGCAAAUGCCAGAGGUUCAUCAAGCUUCUUGUUUCCCAAGUACUGCUGGUUAUCAUCUCCGUACUGCCAGGUUCAAGUCAGAUAAGGAAGCUAAAAGAGAAAAAGGAGAUGCAUGUGUGGUCUCUUCAGAUCAUGGACAAGCUACUUGAACAUGCUGCAAGGCGUAUAGAUGAAAUAAAUCCCAAAAAUGAUGAGCCAAGCCAACUUUUCAAUUGUUGUUAUUCAGAGUAUGAAUA